rnacentral:tRNA from 1 species
UGUAGGAAAGUUUACAAUAACAUUAAACCUUGAAUUUAAAAAAGACAAUUAAAUUUGUCUCCUAC